AUUGGCAGUGACAAAAUGGCGCCGACUAUCCAAAUUGCUAUUGCUAUGCAGAGUGUCGCUCUUCUUCCCAUACGUGGCUUCAGUGGAUUCAUAAUGGCCAUGUAUCUGAAAGCAUACGAUCGUGGAUUAACACAGUGGAUCGAUCUUAACACUGGACUACCAUCGCCAGUCGAUCUGACUGUUUUCAACGCAAAUAUGCCUUUAACGAAAAUCUUUGGUAUAUCCAGUGUUAAUGGCUAGGGGAUAUAAGCUUGCUGCUGGGAAUACGAUAAGGAUCGGGCAGACGACUUGCUUAUUGACAAUGUCAAACAAUAAGUUGGGCGCGACGCUUCUGUUGCGUCGUGAAAUACGCAACAGCGUACUGCAGGUUGGGUUUACUUAGCGAAAACGAAGAUGAAGUUGAUGCUUUGAGGAACAUAGAAACGAAGCUUUACGCUCGCACUGAGAAAUAGGAGACGAGAUGGCAUCUAUAGAAUUUUCUUUGGAUUUUCGCGAUUCCAUCGAAAAAGUUUUUCAAGGGUUGCUGCGCGUUUGGCUGCUGUGGGUUUAAAAAAAAAGUAUUUUACUACCCCUCCUCUACGGCCCCUUGGGUCUCAGGAAUUUUCGAAGCACCGGCAAAGCUCGCUGCAAGCUCAGCAAAUUGAUGUGAAUAUUCCAGGAGCUUUUACGUCGAGGGAUCAGGAAAUUCUGUAUUAGCUUUCGUCCAACCCCUUCAGGGUAUUGUAGUACAAUCUUCUCGUAAGGAGAGGCUUGAAAAUUGUGUUAAAUUGUGCAAUUGGCGCAAUCUCGGGUCAAGCAGUUUAGAUCGAUAAGGGAAGAUAAGGCAGAGUCAGAUGCACUGUAUGAGAAAACGACGUUACAAGCUUUCAAGGGAUACGGGAGUAUUAGUUUUCUUGGCCAUUUCUGGAAAUGGCAAGGUUGGGUUAAGGAAUAGGAAAGCCUGUAAUCUUCUUAGUAUGGACACGAACCUUAUUUGGGUCUGUUGCGUAAGGGUAGCAAGGAGUGUAAUUGUCGGAUUACUAACAUGCUCAAAUAUUCAAUUUGACUUUCAUUACUUCUUUUUUUUCUGUCAUUCCUACCUAUAUUAUUAUUUAUUGGGUCUUUUUCUCUUUAUGAAUCUUUUUCUUUUCCUAAUCCUAUCUCAGAGCUUCUAACCAGCUACCAGCUGUUUUACUUUUUGUGGAUGUUUUCCUCUGUCGAGUCACAGGCGUAGCUAUCUUUCGAAUUCCAACUUUGAAACUCGUCGUGCGAAUGUAAUGUGACUCACUUUUCGUCUCUUGGCUGUCCAAGCCAUUUCUCAGACGGCGGAUCUAACCGUAAGACACUCGUGCAAAACCAAUCGCUUUUUAGUUCCACAUUUUCUGUGUUUUUAUACACUGACCGAUCGAUAGACUCUCUUAUUUCUUUCUAUACGGCGAAGUCUCAGUCGAUUUUACGAGAAAGGCAAUUGUGAGAAAUAAGAAGGGAGACUCGAGACUUUCAUAACUGAGUCGUUUGCUUCGUUUUAAAAAAAAAAAAAAAUUCUGCGAACACUCGUUCCUAUAUCAAACACGGGUGUGUCUUUAGGAAUUUAAAAUAGCGCUUUUAAUUAGUUCUGGUCCUGUUAGCACUUUUCCCUCGGUGGUAUCGGUAAUGAUGUUGGUACGUUUGUAAUUAAGAAUCUUAUUAAUUAAUAAUGUUUUAUUUUAACUUUUCAUGCUGUCUCACGAAUAUACCUUUAAUCUACUUUUCUCGUGCCGUAAGGGCAAACUAUAAUCGUGCGAAUUAAAUAGCCUUUUUUUUGCUUCCUUUACACUCCAUUGUAUCAUUACAAAAUGCUUUGGUACGCAUAUGCUGAUAUUUUCUCCCGUUCACGACGAAACCCUGUAAAGGAUUCAACCAGCAAAUUCUUAGUCACUCCAUUCGGCAUCCAUAUUCUAUGCGAGGACAGGAAGACAAAUCCCUGACUACGUACCGGGAUCAUGUUCUCCCUUGGAAUUACUUACAGGAGCUCUUCUGUCGCAGUCUACCGAAGAAUGCUAUUUCAUCCCCUACUGAAUUCCCUUCUCGGGGGACGUUACCUUUGAUGUUUUGAAGACUCCUGGGACAUGCAUUCAAGAGACAGUUUCGAUGAUAUUUGAAGAACCGUUUGGGAUAAAUAUUUAUGGAUGUUAAAUGCCUCUUACAAUAAUAGGGUUGUUAUCUAAGACUGUUAUUGAUUAUUGGUCGAAGCUGAUUUUGAUAUGAACUAUACGUCAUAGCCAUGGCGGUAUCCUGACUUGGCCACAAAUCCUCACGGUUCGUGUCAGUGGGUGCAGUAUGUCACUUUAAGGGGGUGGUUUGCGGCUAUCGGACCCUAUCCUUCUUGUAAUGCUUAAGCGUUACUUAUGGUAUCUUGAAUUAGGUUGCCAUUACCAUCCUUAUUAAUCCCUUGAGGCGACACCGGUACGUGCCUUUAUUUCAUGUAUGUUCUCAGAGGCAGAAUCCAGGAUCAAUGUAGAAGCUGGAAGACCAAGCUUUGUCGAAAGGAAAAGCAGGAGGAUUUUUCUUCGUAAGCCAUCCCAUUCAUGUUUUUCAUCAUUUUAUCCCUUUCAACUGAUACAUAUAUACGUCACAUCAAACAACCCUUAAUCCCUUUAGUCCUCUACUUACUAACAGGGAUUGAAGAUCUAAUCAAGAUGCAACAACUAAUUUAUAAAUUGAUGAAAACAGUUUUUAUCCAACAUCCAUUGUGGAGGGAUAGUUGUUGAUAUCCAUGUCGAAGAUCUCUUUCAUGGACAUGUAAAAUGGCAACGUUCACCAUGUCACAGUGAUCUCCUGUUUCAAACCCCUGUAAUAUAUGGGGAUGAAGUGGUUCUUGAUACCCAUGAGAAUCUUUGCCAUCAACUGACACGGUGGUUAAACUAGCUUUCAGGAUGUCAGAAACACUAGAAGGUGUUUAUGGGACCAUAGGUUUUAUACUCCAGAAGGUGCUAUCCAGCUGCAUCGUAACCCAUAAGAUAUAUAUUCUUAUUAGGGUGAAAAUACAUAGGUCGUACCCUCCUUUUUUUUUAUAUUUAACCUCUCCAUCCUUUCCACACCGUACGAAACCCCUGAGUAUCUUCAUCUUCACUCAAGAAUUAUGCCAAGUAAUAAAAGUCAGAAAAAAAUAGACUCGAGCACAGUAAUCUUAAUGUCAAGUAAAUUUAAAAAAUGCACUAGACAAAAUUAAGAACGCAACUACUUCUUAUACUUAAUAAAUUCGACCAUUCACAUUAGCCAUUUCAUAUCUGACAUUAAUUUACCGAUUAGCACAAACCCCUGAAAUACUUCAUCCUGUAUCCAAAACUCAUCCUCGAUACAGAAUCAUGAAAUUAGUCAAUUAUAAAUUUUUUUUUAAUUAUCCUAAUUAACUAAUAUCUCCCCAAAAAUACAAUCCACCGUUUCACAAUCGUUAUUCACAUUGUCACUUGGCGCGUUUAACAAUACAAAACACUUGUUAUUGUCCCUCUAGUAAAUGUUAUCUCGUUCAAUUAUUUAUUAGCAAUUUAUCCAAUUAUCUAUUAUCUCAAGCCAAGAUACCAUCUUGAGAUUUUACACUGUUCAAGUAAUAAUUAUAUUAUCUUCACUUUUUAAUAUCUCCCCCCCCCCUAUAUUAUCAGUUUCCUUUCAUAAUUUUACUUUCCUAUUGAUACUAUUAUAUAGCUUCCACUGUGCGCGGCUCCAGUAACAAAGUGCAUUACGGUAUAAAAACUUAAUAACUCUGUCAGAUGCAGUUCUUUCCAAGAACCCAUGAAGAAUAAUGAUUUAGUUGGAGCGAGACCAGUGACGAAUCUCAAAGUAUAAAAUUUGUAAGAGUUUCUAGAAAAUUUAAUAAGAAAUAUAUUUAUACUAUAUGUAUACACACAAACACUGUAUAUAGUAAUAGGACUAUAUGCAUAUGUGUCAUCUCGAUAUCUAUCAAUUAAAUCUGGUUCGGACAUAUCUCCCCUGUAUUUCGCGUAUCGCAAAAUGAUUGAGCCUGUUAUUAAAUAACUGAAACGUCCAUCAUUCGAUAAAAUGUGUCGUCGCAAUGCGCACUGCUUGUAUUACCUUUAUCAUUUCGUGUGUCAGGCGUCAGGUCGAUUAUUUAAUAACGAGAGUACACGUUUAACUUGUUAAAUGCAGUUGAGCGAUUUAAUUGGAUCGCAGGUAGAAAUAGUGACUGUGCUAAUCGUUGCGUCAUAUGUGUAUGUACAAUGUUAUAUUCGUGACAAAAGCACCGCCUGAAGGUGGUUCCGUUAUGGAAGUCAAAUGAAUCGGCUAACUUCGGGUGAUGCGUUUCUCGUGAAUAUUCUUGUAUACGUAUAUACUUAUGUAAUAUAUAUUAAUUGUAAAUUAUUGUUACUACAUAUCUGACUAAGCAAAGAUAUUCCAUCCUUGACAGUCGCGACCGUGAAGGCCUUGAAGUGGAUACUUAAGAAGUAAUUAAAAGAAAUUUUUGUAGAACGAACUGAAAUUUGAUAUUAAUUUAAAGAAUAUAU